rnacentral:rRNA from 1 species
UACAGAGGUGGCAAGCGUUGUUCGGAAUUACUGGGCGUAAAGGGCGCGUAGGCGGCCCUCUUAGUCGGACGUGAAAUCCCCAGGCUUAACUUGGGAACUGCGUCCGAUACUGGAGGGCUUGAGUGCGGGAGAGGGAUGUGGAAUUCCAGGUGUAGCGGUGGAAUGCGUAGAUAUCUGGAGGAACACCGGUGGCGAAGGCGGCAUCCUGGACCGACACUGACGCUGAUGCGCGAAAGCUAGGGGAGCAAACGGG